CUGGCGUCCCCCUGUCCCUGGGUCUGCAGGGGAUGCCCAGCAGGGCCGGCGGGGGGGAGUAGGGAUUGAGGGCCCCCACACCUGUCCUACAGGUGCCUACUUUAGGACCUUGGAGGCACAGGUGAGGGAUCUCGAGGAGGAGGUUAGCAGGCUGAGGGGAAUCAGGGAGGCAGAAGAUGAAAUUGAUGGUUAUUUCCUUUCCCUACAGGGGCAUGCACCCAAGGAAGAAACACCCCAGGAGGUGCCCUCCACUGCAGAGUGGCAGACGGUCACCUCCAGAACAAGGGCUGCUUACAGCAAAACAGUACUAGCUCCUCCAGUCCAGCUGGAGUACAGUUACAAGGCCCUGGCAACACUGCAGGAGAAGGAAGGAGAGGAGGAAACCUCUGGAGAGGAGGCAACUCCACACUCCCCACACUCUGAACAGGCUGAAGGAACUAAGCAGACCUGGAGAUGGAAACAUCAUGUGAUCGUCAUAGGCAACUCCAUCCUGAGAGGUAUGGAGGGUCCCAUCUGUCGCCAGGACCCCUUGACACUUGAGGUCUACUGCCUGGCCAGAGCAAAGAUUCAGGAUGUGACACGGAUGAUCCAGGCUGUGAUCCAGCCCACUGAUUACUACCCCGUGGUCCUAAUCCAUGUGGGUACUAAUGAUGUGACCAGAAGAAGCCCUGAUUACCUGAUGGUGGACUACCACACUCUGGGGGGCGUGCUGAAGGAGAUGGGUGCACAGGUGUUGUUCUCUUCUGUUCUACCAGUGAGCAGACGUGGAAGACGACAUGAGACCUGCAUCAGAGAGACCAACUGGUGGCUUCGGGAAUGCUGUCUCGAGGGGGGGUUCAGCUUCCUUGAGAGUGACCUGCACUUCAGGAUCAGAGACAUGUUCGGGUGGGAUGGGCUUCACCUUUCUCCUAAAGGGAAAAGGCCCCAAGGGAGGCGUUCUCUUCUAGGUUGGUGGGCUUUAAACUAGGCUUAUAGGGGGAAGGGGAAGAUGAGGGUGAAGGAAGCCUUGGACCACUAAACCAAGUGUCACCCACAAGAACAGCCCAGCCUAGACCGACGAUGAGCAGAGCAAAUAUCCAGGUAAGCAACAAAGGCCUGGGCACUACUGAGAUUAGGGGGCCAGUGCACACAUCUUCAGGAGUCUUCAAAAGCCUCUACACAAAUCCUCGUAGUGUGGGGAACAAGCAGGAAAACCUUACUGUCCUGCUAGCUGAAACCAACCCAGACAUAGUGGGGCUCAUAGAAAUGUGGUGGGAUCCAACGCACGACUGGGUGGUGAAUAUCAAGGGCUAUAGGCUGUACAGGAGGGACAGGACAGGGAGGAAAGGUAGGGGUUUCAUAGACAUC
rnacentral:lncRNA from 1 species